AUGGAUAAUCUACAGAAGUUUGUGUUUGAAAUCAAGAAAAGAUUCUUUCGUAAUGACGGGGCAGGGCCUGGUGAGGGCUAUGAUCCCUCAUACGACCCUCAUAGCCUGAAUAUGUAUGAUUUCAGUUGUGAGAAUAUGAAGGACUUGAGGUUGGCAGGUAUCGAAAUUGCGACAGGAAAAGGACUUCGUUUUCUCUUUGGGAGGUGCAAAGCACUGGAGAAGCUUUGCUUGGAGUAUGUUCGGGGUCUAAAUGACAACGACAUGAUUGCAUUAUCCCAGAGCUGCAACAAUCUUAAAAGCAUCUCACUUUGGCUGGAUCCUCAGAAUUAUUACGAUACUUUCAGGACGGCAUUUACUGAUAACAGCCUUAAGGCUCUAUCUCUCAGUUGCCCUAUGCUUGAGAGUGUUGAUCUCACAUUUUCAGGUUGCUCUGCCAUCUACACAUCAGAAAUAGGCUUCACACGGAAGGGCCUAGUGGCUCUCAUUAAGUCUUGCCCGAUUCGUGUUCUCGUGCUAAGGGGUGCCAACUUCUUUAAUGACAAAGGGAUGAAGGCCGUCUCAUCUGCUCCAUUACUGGAGACACUCGAGCCAUUGGAUUGCAAGGCCAUAAGUAAUGCUGGGCUACGGUUCAUUGUGCGUGCCCCAUGCUUGAUUAAUCUCAUGCUCCGGCUCUGUGACCGUGUGACUAAUGCUGGAGUAUCGAAGCUGGCACAUUCACAGAAGUUAGAGUCUCUGAUCAUUGAACGUUGUUCCCGGGUCUCUGAGCAGGCUGUGUGUGGGGCUGCCAGAUCAGUUCAAUACUCCGAGUCUGUACCCCUCAGCGAGCUAGAAAAAUUGUUCACAACUUCGUGCAGUUGA
rnacentral:rRNA from 1 species